GUCUUAUUGUAUAUUUAUAUUAAGUCUUACCUGCUCAAUGAUAUAAUUAUUAAAUAGCCGCAGUAUUUUGACUGUGCAAAGGUAGCAUAAUCAUUUGUCUUUUAAUUGGGGACUUGUAUGAAUGGUUUGAUGAAAUAUAAUCUUUCUUUGCAUAAUUAUACUUAAUUUAAUUUUUUAGUUAAAAAGCUAAAAUUUUUUUAUAGGACGAGAAGACCCUAUAGAAUUUUAUAUUUUAUUACAAAUAAUAAAUUUAUGGAAUAUUUAUAUUUUUAUUUUUUAAAAUAUUUUGUUGGGGUGACAGGAAAAUUAAUUUAACUUUUUUUAUUUAUUUUUUAUAGAUUUAUAUUUUAAUGAUCCUAUUUUAAGGAUAAUAAGAUUAAAUUACCUUAGGGAUAACAGCGUAAUUUUUUUGGAGAGUUCUUAUCGAUAAAUGAAGUUUGCGACCUCGAUGUUGGAUUAAAAUUAGUAUUUGGUGUAGGUGCUAAAUUACUAGGUCUGUUCGACCUUUAAUAUUUUACA
rnacentral:rRNA from 1 species